rnacentral:rRNA from 1 species
UUGGAGGGCAAGUCUGGUGCCAGCAGCCGCGGUAAUUCCAGCUCCAAUAGCGUAUAUUAAAGUUGUUGUGGUUAAAAAGCUCGUAGUUGAACCUUGGGCCUGGCUGGCCGGUCCGCCUCACCGCGUGUACUGGUCCGGCCGGGCCUUUCCCUCUGUGGAACCCCAUGCCCUUCACUGGGUGUGGCGGGGAAACAGGACUUUUACUGUGAAAAAAUUAGAGUGCUCCAGGCAGGCCUAUGCUCGAAUACAUUAGCAUAGAAUAAUAGAAUAGGACGUGUGGUUCUAUUUUGUUGGUUUCUAGGACCGCCGUAAUGAUUAAUAGGGACAGUCGGGGGCAUCAGUAUUCAAUUGUCAGAGGUGAAAUUCUUGGAUUUAUUGAAGACUAACUACUGCGAAAGCAUUUGCCAAGGAUGUUUUCAUUAAUCAGGAACGAAAGUUAGGGGAUCGAAGACGAUCAGAUACCGUCGUAGUCUUAACCAUAAACUAUGCCGACUAGGGAUCGGACGGUGUUAUUUUUUGACCCGUUCGGCGCCUUACGGGAAAC